UGAGGAAUAUUGGUCAAUGGGCGAGAGCCUGAACCAGCCAAGUCGCGUGAGGGAAGACGGACCUACGGUUUGUAAACCUCUUUGGCCGGAGAGUACCCGGAGAACAAGCAUCGACUAACUCCGUGCCAGCAGCCGCGGUAAUACGGAGGAUGCGAGCGUUAUCCGGAUUUAUUGGGUUUAAAGGGUGCGCAGGCGGCAUCGCAAGCCGGCGGUCAAAUCGGGAGGCCCAACCCCCCGCCGCCGUCGGAACUGCGGGGCUAGAGUGGCCGAAAAGUAUGCGGAAUGCGUGGUGUAGCGGUGAAAUGCAUAGAUAUCACGCAGAACGCCGAUUGCGAAGGCAGCAUACCGGCGGCCAACUGACGCUCAGGCACGAAAGCGUGGGGAUCAAACAGG
rnacentral:rRNA from 1 species